CAAAGAAAGAUAGAUACUGCAUGAUCUCCCUUAUAUGUGGUAUCUUAAAAAAAAAAUCAUAGGUUCAAAGAAUGGUUUGGUGGUUGCCAGAGGUGGGUUGUGGGGGGUGAGCAAAAUGAAUGUGGUCAAAAGAUAGAAACUUCCAGUUGUGAAAUAAGUAAGUCCUGGGGAUGUGAGGGUCAGCCUGGUGACCAUGGUCAAUAACACUGUGUGGUAUAUUUGGAAGCUGCUCAGAGAGUAGAUCCUAGAAGUUCUCAUGACAAGAAAACAAUUUUUUAACUUUGUGUGGUGAUGGAUGUUAACUAGACACACUGUAAUCAUCAUUUUGCAAUAGAUGCAUAUAUUGAAUCAUCAUGUCACACACCUGAAACUAACAUAACGUUGUAUGUCAAUUACAGCUCAAGUUUUUAGAAAGUGAGACCUAGUGAGAUCCAGCCCUUUAAAAAAGAACACUUGUAAUAAAGAUGUUUCUAAAGAAAAUGUUAAAACAUAGCCUGUACAUUCCUCACUUUGCAACUCUUCUCCAUCAACUUGCCUCUCUUCAGUGAUAUCAAAUUGAGUGGAAACAGAUAUCCUCUAGACGUUUCUUCAGGUACAAGGGAAGAUACCACCUAGGCGUCUAGCAACGUACAAACGAAUUAUCAGGCAUGUACUAUUACCAUCAUUCUGAAGAUGAGGACUCUGGAUCUCUGAAAAUUCAUCACUAGCCUGUACACUCACGAAGAGGAAAUGGGAGAGGCAUCUAGAACAGUGGCUAUGAGAUCCUGACGUUCUGUAGAAGCACCAGCAUGUAGCUGCCCAGAGGACAAGUCCAGCUGAGAAAGUGACAUCACGGAAGGCACAGAAAAUGACCAGGAAGAAAUAGCCAAUGCUUACGGGCAAGGAGCAUUCGGAGCAGUCUAAAACCAACCCCAUGUCUGACGACUUGAGGUUGGUGGGGCUGUCAUUCCCUGUGUCACGUCUGGUGCCACACUGAGAAAACCGGGUGCGUAUUAGUUACAGAAAGCCUUGUUAUAUAAACCGGAGACCAGCCUUUAAUCUAAAAGUUUGAAGCGGUUCUGAACUUUCUUACUUUCCAGGUUCUUUUUUAAAAAAGAUGGAGUUUUGGACAGUAGUUUAAAGGAGAGAAAACACAAAUAAUAGGUAUAUGAGGAAAUAGUUACAUGAAAACUAUUAAAAUACCAGAAAAAAAUAAUAAUUCUUGGUGCUGAUGAAGUUGCAAAAAUAUGGCUCACUGGUAUUGCCGGGGACAGCACAUAUGUGUAUCAUAUUGUUUCUUCCCCAAACCAUUGUCAGUAUGUAUCAGGGAGUUUAAAAAUAAUGG